AACACAUGCAAGUCGAGCGGAUGACGGGAGCUUGCUCCUUGAUUCAGCGGCCGACGGGUGAGUAAUGCCUAGGAAUCUGCCUGCGUAGUGGGGGACAACGUUUUCGAAAGGAACGCUAAUACCGCAUACGUCCUACGGGAGAAAGCAGGGGACCUUCGGGCCUUGCGCUAUCAGAUGAGCCUAGGUCGGAUUACCUAGUUGGUGGGGUAAUGGCUCACCAAGGCGACAAUCCGUAACUGGUCUGAGAGGAUGAUCCACUCACACUUGGAACUGAGACACCGUCCACACUCCUACGGGAGGCAGCAGUGGGGAAUAUUGCACAAAUGGGCGCAAGGCCUGAUGCACCAUGCCCGCGUGUAUUGAAGAAGGCCUUUCGGGUUGUAAAU
rnacentral:rRNA from 1 species